rnacentral:rRNA from 1 species
GUCCCGUAACGAGCGCAACCCUCGUCUUUAGUUGCCACCAUUUAGUUGGGCACUCUAAAGAAACUGCCGGUGAUGAGCCGGAGGAAGGUGGGGAUGACGUCAAGUCCUCAUGGCCCUUACGCGCUGGGCUACACACGUGCUACAAUGGCGGUGACAGUGGGCAGCAAACUCGCGAGAGUGAGCAAAUCCCCAAAAACCGUCUCAGUUCGGAUUGUUCUCUGCAACUCGAGAGCAUGAAGGCGGAAUCGCUAGUAAUCGCGGAUCAGCAUGCCGCGGUGAAUACGUUCCCAGGCCUUGUACACACCGCCCGU